rnacentral:rRNA from 1 species
GGGUGAGUAACACGUGGGCAACCUGCCUGUAAGACUGGGAUAACUUCGGGAAACCGGAGCUAAUACCGGAUAAUCCUUUCCCUCUCAUGAGGGAAAGCUGAAAGACGGUUUCGGCUGUCACUUACAGAUGGGCCCGCGGCGCAUUAGCUAGUUGGUGAGGUAACGGCUCACCAAGGCAACGAUGCGUAGCCGACCUGAGAGGGUGAUCGGCCACACUGGGACUGAGACACGGCCCAGACUCCUACGGGAGGCAGCAGUAGGGAAUCUUCCGCAAUGGACGAAAGUCUGACGGAGCAACGCCGCGUGAACGAUGAAGGCUUUCGGGUCGUAAAGUUCUGUUGUCAGGGAAGAACAAGUACCGGAGUAACUGCCGGUACCUUGACGGUACCUGACCAGAAAGCCACGGCUAACUACGUGCCAGCAGCCGCGGUAAUACGUAGGUGGCAAGCGUUGUCCGGAAUUAUUGGGCGUAAAGCGCGCGCAGGCGGUUCCUUAAGUCUGAUGUGAAAGCCCCCGGCUCAACCGGGGAGGGUCAUUGGAAACUGGGGAACUUGAGUGCAGAAGAGGAGAGCGGAAUUCCACGUGUAGCGGUGAAAUGCGUAGAGAUGUGGAGGAACACCAGUGGCGAAGGCGGCUCUCUGGUCUGUAACUGACGCUGAGGCGCGAAAGCGUGGGGAGCGAACAGGAUUAGAUACCCUGGU